AUUGAACGCUGGCGGCAGGCCUAACACAUGCAAGUCGAGCGGAUGAAGGGAGCUUGCUCCUGGAUUCAGCGGCGGACGGGUGAGUAAUGCCUAGGAAUCUGCCUGGUAGUGGGGGAUAACGUCCGGAAACGGGCGCUAAUACCGCAUACGUCCUGAGGGAGAAAGUGGGGGAUCUUCGGACCUCACGCUAUCAGAUGAGCCUAGGUCGGAUUAGCUAGUUGGUGGGGUAAAGGCCUACCAAGGCGACGAUCCGUAACUGGUCUGAGAGGAUGAUCAGUCACACUGGAACUGAGACACGGUCAAGACUCCUACGGGAGGAAGCAGUGGGGAAUAUUGGACAAUGGGCGAAAGCCUGAUCCAGCCAUGCCGCGUGUGUGAAGAAGGUCUUCGGAUUGUAAAGCACUUUAAGUUGGGAGGAAGGGCAGUAAGUUAAUACCUUGCUGUUUUGACGUUACCAACAGAAUAAGCACCGGCUAACUUCGUG
rnacentral:rRNA from 1 species